rnacentral:lncRNA from 1 species
AAUCUCACACCUAGCAGUCGUUAUAUGGUGUAUCAAACGCUAUUCUCCACAUAAAAAGUGCAUAUGUACAUGGAAUUAAUUAAAAUACAAAUUAUAACAGAUUUAUGAGCCAUAAAUCAGUUGUUUGCAAUUUCAAGUUGUCAGCAAUUAUUUGACAAACAAACUCAUACCUAAUAAUAUAUUUAAUUGUCGCUCAAUUACUAAGUUUAUUUGUAUGCAUUAUUGCUGUUAUUUCCAUAUAUUAACACACCCACACCUAUUAUAUAUGUAUGUAAUAUUGAGACAACUUUUGUAAAACAACAAGCAAAAAUGUAUAGUUGUUUGUCUCUGCUUUGUAUGAAAUUUCGUAAAUUUUGAAUUUGUUUUGUUUCAUUUUGUGUAUUCUUAACAGACAACGGCCCAGAUAAAUGGACCACUUUGGUAGAACGUUUUAUAGUAUGCGUUAAGUAUUCGAACCCAACAAAUGGAUUGAAUAAGCUGAGGAAAACUUGGAAUUUCUUUAACGCGUCCUUUGUGUAGCGCCAGUACGUAGUAUGUAAACGCUUGGAAAUAGAGUGAACGUUAAAUGUUAUUGCUUGUGUAAAUAAAGCGUAGCUGCGUACGUGUACUUCAUCGUUCUACCAACACCACCACCAACAACAACAACAACCAUCAUCAUCACCACCAUCAAUAUCUUUGAUACAAUCCAACAACAAGGCAGCCAACAAACUUAUGCGUCGCAACCACUUCGCUCCACUCCACUCCACUUUACUCGAUUCCACUUCACUUCACUCCACUCCACUUGACUGUACUCCACUCCACUCGUAUCAGUAUCGACUCCAUCAUAUUGUAAUGUUAAGCAUCAUCAUCGCCAAUGAAAUGUACAGCGAACACUAUUUUGUGUUUACAUUUUUUCCAUCCAUAAUUGUGAAGUACAUUUCAUUUGUUGUGUAAUGCUUAUGCUUUGGGCAAUUAAUUGUUGCAAUUGUUGACAAUUUCUCCCCUCGACGGCGAAAAGAAUCAACUGCGUUAGUAUUUACUUGGAAUAAAUAGCACACAACCGCCAUAAAGCAACAACAAAACGAAAAAAUCUGCAAUGAAUAUAUGCCACAAAUCAAACAACCGUUAUAAUGAGUGAUGAACACCGAACUGUAAUGGAAUUGGAACAAUGUGGCAAAGCAGGCACCUUUAUAUCAAAUAAGUUGAAUAUAUUAUAAAUUUGUUUUACACAACAAACAAAUGUAUAUAAACACAUACACAGAAGAGAGACGAAAGAGACAGCAGUAUAUGUGUAUAACGGCGCUAUUAGGCUAACUCGAAAAUAUUUGAGCAACACUUAAGAAAGCGCCUUAAGUGCAGUGCAGUAAAUUUAAAAAGUAAUUAAAUGAGAUUUCUAACAAGAAAAGUGUUAAAAAAUAUGCGAAAACUGAAAUUAGUAAACAAAAAAGUGUUUAGUGGUAUAUUUUGUAAGUUAUAUAACGUAAAUUUAUAGAUUUUUGUACAAACGUUGUUUUCGAAAUUUUGUUUUUGCAACGCGUUCGAUUUAUAAAAAGCCAAUAUUGAGCAAAUGUUCACACGACAGUAGGCGUUAGGCACUAAAUAAGUGAUAAAUGCAGUAGCUGAGAAGUUGACAACACACUAAAAAAACAAAUACAUAUAUAGAGUAUAAAAUUCACGCGCCAAGGCAACGUGUUUGCUUAGACGUAACCCAAAAAAAUACGCUUACAUAUGGUUUUUGCGCUUAAACCAAGCUGUUUUUGCCACAACAAGCACAUUAACGGUAGCUAUUAUGAUUUUUGAGUUAUUUGUUAGAAAACAAAUAUUUUUGACAGAAUGCGUUGUUCUUGCAUGCAGCGACAUGCAAGUGUUCACUACACACAUACUUAUACAUAGAUGGUAGUUAUAAUUACAACUGCAAGCUAUUACAGUUAACCAAUAAAUAGCCAUGACAGUGAAGUGUUGAAGUACUAUUUUUUAGACUUUUCUGUUUUAUUUUACAAAGAAUAUUAUAUUUGUAGCUGUGCUGUGGCACUAUUGAAUAGACAAAUUAUGGAAUUGUGAAGCAUACACAUACAUGCAAAUCGUGUUGAAUAUACAUAUAUAUAUUCAUUAAAUAUACAUAUACAUAUGUACAUAUAUAUGUAUACAUUCACUCACACACACACACAUAAAUCUGUAAAUAUGUUACUUAAUUGACCAAUUUAAUAAUGAACAAAUGUGAAGCGCGUUUUUAGGCGAUUCUCCUUGAAGUAUUUUGUUUGCUAGCAUAAUUAUAUAAUGUACUCCUCGUUUAUAUGCUUUCAACUUGUAUUAAACAUAUUUAUUUAACACACUUUAGUAUUAUUUGUUUAUUUAUACAAUUAAUUGAAUGCUAUUAUGCAAUUAUUCGACGCUCAAAUCAUUUCAUAGCGUCGAAUUUGAAUAAAAUAUGCCUAAAAUGUAAGAAAAAAAUACUUGACAAACAUUUUCAAAAUUAGUCUAAUGCUAUAUUUUUAAGCUGACAACUAAACUAUAUGAUUUAAUGGUAAUAUAUAAAAGUAGUUAAUGACAAGAGCUGGCGCGCCCCCAAGCAGCAGCGCCACUUGCAAUUUCUUUGAUGAUAACUAUAAGCGCAUGUAUAUAUUUAGGUACGAUAUGCUAAUGUAAAGCCAAAAUGUUUGUGUAUGUAAAUUAGUUGGUAACAGAAACAGAUUUUUGAAAUAAAAUUCGAAUAUGGCUCU